GAGUUUACAGUAAAAUAAAUAUUGAAGUGGGCCUGGGGAAGUCACUUGAACGUUUGUUGGCACGUAAAAGAC
rnacentral:pre_miRNA from 13 species